UUAACCAUACUGUCAUGCUGUGGUUAUCAUGGACUGCUGAACAGUUCCCUGUAUGAACACCAGAGGGCGUUCGGGCAUGGCUUUGUUUAUUGUCUGUGUUCCUAUGUGCUUCUCUUUAAGAUUGGUGUCUGCACAUGUAUUUGUCUCACCCUGUUCCAUCCGAUUAAUCCCAUGAUCUUGGCUGUCAGUGACUCAGGUGUGGCUUCUGCUUGUUUGUAAUGAAAACCUGCACUAACCCUGGCUCUAAGAUUCUACAUCCUGGUCUGGAUUGCUUUUGUCAGUCUUUUAUUGCACUUUUCUUUUCUUCCCACAGUACAAAACUUACAAAAUCACUGACAAAGAUUCUGUCACUUUGCCGUUUGUCAUCAAUGAUAUUAUGAGUCUGGAAGAUAAUCAAGAUAAAGAUGAAAUUCAGUCUGAUGAUAUCAUUAAUGUGCUGCAUGGCUGUGUCAAAGAAGGCUAUACAGUCAGAAAGACAAUGAACAUGUCUUAAUUCAAGAUCAUCUGUUUUUUACUUAUAACAUAUUCAGUAAAUUAUCUACAACUACAGAUGCCACAUGAUCAGAUGACGCAGUAAUUUAAAGUACUUUAUAUCCUUUUAUUGUUCUUUUCUUUGUCCUCAGUUUAAUCCUGUUUUUCCACUGACUGAUGCUGAUCCAGGCUACAUACAUGAACCCAGUCUGAAUGACAAAGUUCACUGUUUGGUGAGCGUAGUGCCUGCAAACAGCAUCUCCUCGAUGAAGAAUGAGGUGAUUCGGAAGAUGAAAGCUGUCAGAAAAUCUGCCCUCGGAUUGGGUAUCCCUCAUGUGGUUCUGAUGACAAAAAUUGAUGCUGAUGUCUGCCCACUGGUUACAAAGGAUCUAGCUGAGGUUUACAAAAGCAGGAAAAUCGAAGAAAAGAUGCAGGAAUGCAGCCACAUAAUUGGUCCAACACUGAAAUGCAUCUUCCCAGUGAGCAACUAUUAUAAGGAGACUGAAAUGGAUGACAAAAAAGAUGUGCUUAUUCUGUCGGCAUUAAAGGCAAUUGUAGGAUUUGUUAACGAUUACAUUGAAAAUGGUAACAUCUGAGUACCUGCUAAAAAGUCCAUUUGGAAGAAGGAAUUGGGAUGUAGGUCUUUAUUAUCAUCAAAUCUUUAUGGAGCUCAUUUAUUAAUCUUGAUUAACUACUUGAACUAUAAUAAUUUGUGCCUGUAAUUACUGGUGUAGACUAAUUAAGAGCAAAUUUAAUUGGCUAUUAUUAAAUUUAAGCCUCACAUCUGCUUAUGCUACAGCUCACUUAUUUUUAAUGUUAUUCAUACAUUCAGUGUUUGAGAAAAAUUAUAUCCUCUAUUACAUCCUGCUUGAUAACCACUUUUUACUGGUUCUCUUAAUACUGGUUCUCAGCAAAUAAAUAAUAAUAACUAUAAAGUUACACCACAACCAAUUAUUAACUUAUCCAUCAGUAGACAGACACAUAGAUAAUACAAAGAGAAGGAAAAAUAGGGAAAGAAAAGAGAAACGUAAGGUGAAUAAAGAAAGAAAGAUUGAUGUAAAAAUACAAAAGGUAUAAGAAUUGGUUGAAAGAUUUGAAUAUGAGUGUUUAGAAGAAGACAACGAGGGAUCAGACACUGUACCUAGACAGCUGGAAGAAGAUUCCAAAAGAAAAGAAGAUUAUAAUGCAUUGUGUGUUAUUAUGUUUUAUUUUCAGACGCUCAAGAAAAUUCUGAAAUGCUUUUCUUCUAUUUACAAUCAUGUAUUCUCCUGUAACCAUGUAUUCCCACAAUCCACACACCAGGACUAAUUACUCCACCAGCUGUUUCCUAUUUCUGACACUAUGUUCUAGGUUCGGUUUUGAUCUUGUUUUCAGUAUUAUGGUUUCUGAUUGUUUGCUGCCUGCCCUGACCUGUUUGCCUGUCAUUUCCUGUCUGAUUUUUGCCUGCCCUACGACAUUGUGUUUCCUGUUGCCGACCCUGCUUGUCUGUUACGAGUUUCCAAUAAAUACGCUGCAAAUGGA